rnacentral:rRNA from 1 species
CCUACGGGGGGCAGCAGUGAGGAAUAUUGGUCAAUGGACGAGAGUCUGAACCAGCCAAGUAGCGUGAAGGAUGACUGUCCUAUGGGUUGUAAACUUCUUUUAUAUGGGAAUAAAAUGUUCCACGUGUGGGCUUUUGUAUGUACCAUAUGAAUAAGGAUCGGCUAACUCCGUGCCAGCAGCCGCGGUAAUACGGAGGGUCCGAGCGUUAUCCGGAUUUAUUGGGUUUAAAGGGGGCGUAGGUGGUAUGUUAAGUCAGUUGUGAAAGUUUGCGGGUCAACCGUAAGAUUGCAGUUGAAACUGGCAGUCUUGAGUACAGGAGAGGUGGGCGGAAUUCGUGGUGUAGCGGUGAAAUGCUUAGAUAUCACGAAGAACUCCGAUUGCGAAGGCAGCUCACUGGACUGCAACUGACGCUGAGGCACGAAAGUGUGGGUAUCAAACAGGAUUAGAUACCCCAGUAGUC